GACGAACGCUGGCGGCGUGCCUAAUACAUGCAAGUAGAACGCUGAAGAGAGGAGCUUGCUCUUCUUGGAUGAGUUGCGAACGGGUGAGUAACGCGUAGGUAACCUGCCUUGUAGCGGGGGAUAACUAUUGGAAACGAUAGCUAAUACCGCAUAACAAUGGAUGACACAUGUCAUUUAUUUGAAAGGGGCAAUUGCUCCACUACAAGAUGGACCUGCGUUGUAUUAGCUAGUAGGUGAGGUAACGGCUCACCUAGGCGACGAUACAUAGCCGACCUGAGAGGGUGAUCGGCCACACUGGGACUGAGACACGGCCCAGACUCCUACGGGAGGCAGCAGGAGGGAAUCUUCGGCAAUGGGGGCAACCCUGACCGAGCAACGCCGCGGGAGGGAAGAAGGGUUUCGGAUCGUAAAGCUCUGUUGUAAGUCAAGAACGAGUGUGAGAGUGGAAAGUUUACACUGUGACGGUAGCUUAACAGAAAGGGACGGCUAACUACGUG
rnacentral:rRNA from 1 species